GAUGAACGCUGGCGGCGUGCCUAAUACAUGUAAGUCGAGCGAACAGACGAGGAGCUUGCUCCUCUGACGUUAGCGGCGGACGGGUGAGUAACACGUGGAUAACCUACCUAUAAGACUGGGAUAACUUCGGGAAACCGGAGCUAAUACCGGAUAAUAUAUUGAACCGCAUGGUUCAAUAGUGAAAGACGGUUUUGCUGUCACUUAUAGAUGGAUCCGCGCCGCAUUAGCUAGUUGGUAAGGUAACGGCUUACCAAGGCAACGAUGCGUAGCCGACCUGAGAGGGUGAUCGGCCACACUGGAACUGAGAAACGGUCCAAACUCCUACGGGAGGCCGCCGUAGGAAAUCUUCCGCAAUGGGCGAAAGCUUGACGGAGGAACCCCGCGUGAGUGAUGAAGGUCUUCGGGUCGUAAAACUCUGUUAUUAGGGAAGAACAAAUGUGUAAGUAACUAUGCACGUCUUGACGGUACCUAAUCAGAAAGCCACGGCUAACUACGUG
rnacentral:rRNA from 1 species